rnacentral:rRNA from 1 species
UAGGGAAUCUUCCGCAAUGGACGCAAGUCUGACGGAGCAACGCCGCGUGAGUGAAGAAGGAUUUCGGUUCGUAAAACUCUGUUGUUAGAGAAGAACAGCGCAUAGAGUAACUGUUAUGCGUGUGACGGUAUCUAACCAGAAAGCCACGGCUAACUACGUGCCAGCAGCCGCGGUAAUACGUAGGUGGCAAGCGUUGUCCGGAUUUAUUGGGCGUAAAGCGAGCGCAGGCGGUCAAUUAAGUCUGAUGUGAAAGCCCCCGGCUCAACCGGGGAGGGUCAUUGGAAACUGGUUGACUGGAGUGCAGAAGAGGAGAGUGGAAUUCCAGGUGUAGCGGUGAAAUGCGUAGAUAUAUGGAGGAACACCAGUGGCGAAGGCGACUCUCUGGUCUGUAACUGACGCUGAGGCUCGAAAGCGUGGGUAGCAAACAGG